AAUCUGACUCAGUUGGCAUCACUAAAUUUUUGUUGAAUGAAUGAAAGAAAUAUCCAAACUCACCUGGAUUGAAGAAUAAAUGAGGGAAACUUCCAACUUCCUCUCCCUCUGGCUUCACAACUACAGAGACCACCUUCCAUACCCUUAGACUCAAGUUUUCUGUUUAACAACCUGCUUCUGUUAUCACAGGAAAAGAUGCUCCUUUAAGUCAUCAUUCCUUGGAUCCAAGGUUGCUACACAUACAUUUCUUCUAGAAACUCAGAAAAAAAGAGAAGAGAGUGGAGAACAUGA